AUACAUACCAAAGUCCACCAUGACAAGGACGAUUUGGAGCCGUAACUUUGUCCAAAUUCGCAAGCAGCUUCUGCAAACCAAACAUCCGUGAGGUGCAGUAAAUAAGGGUAUACCUGAAUAGCUACAAAUGCAGAACGAAAGAAAACGAGGUAGAUUACUAAACAGACGGAUUGUGCUUUAAAAAUUAUCUAGACAACCAUUCAGUUCAACAUCAGAUGAUCUGGAGCUUGAAGCUUGGAAAAAAAACCAAAACUAUGAAUGCAGGACCUGGCCGACUUGCGCCGCACCCACGACUCAGUCACUUAAGGCUGCUGCCUUCAAAUCCGUUGCAAAGACGACUAUUUGUUACAAAAAUAUUGCGUCACCAAAAGAUGAGAAAAGUACUCACCAAAAGAAUAU
rnacentral:lncRNA from 1 species